GUUAUAAUAGCUUAAUUUUAAAGCAUUGGUUUUGUAAACCAAAAUUAAAUAUAAAACUAUUUUUAUAACU
rnacentral:tRNA from 1 species